UACGUAGGUGGCAAGCGUUGUCCGGAAUCACUGGGCUUAAAGCGCGUGUAGGCGGGACGGCACGUCGGUCGCUGAAAGCCCCCGGCUCAACCGGGGAACGGGCGCCGAUACGACCGGCCUGGAGGGACGUAGGGGGACCUGGAACUUCCGGUGGAGCGGUGAAAUGCGUUGAGAUCGGAAGGAACGCCCGUGGCGAAAGCGAGGUCCUGGACGUUUUCUGACGCUGAGACGCGAAAGCCAGGGGAGCGAACGGG
rnacentral:rRNA from 1 species